AACCAUAGAAACCUGCGGAGUACCUGCGGAGGGAUCAUUACAGAGUUGCAAAACUCCCUAAACCAUUGUGAACGUUACCUAAACCGUUGCUUCGGCGGGCGGCCCGGGUCCUUCCCGGCGCCCCUCGGCCCUCGCGGGCGCCCGCCGGAGGUAAACCAAACUAUCGCAUUGUAUGGCCUCUCUGAGUCUUCUGUACUGAAUAAGUCAAAACUUUCAACAAUGGAUCUCAGAUCGGAAGAG
rnacentral:misc_RNA from 1 species